rnacentral:tRNA from 1 species
UUUUUGCCGUGGGCGCCACGGUAGUCACGGCGGCCUUGGGUGCGGCCUGGGUCUGUUCGGGUUUGGCGGCAGGCGGC